rnacentral:rRNA from 1 species
GACACAGGGAGGUAGUGACAAGAAAUAACAACACUGGAAAUUUUAUUUCUAGUGAUUGGAAUGAUGGGAAUCCAAACCCCUUUCAGAGUAACAAUUGGAGGGCAAGUCUGGUGCCAGCAGCCGCGGUAAUUCCAGCUCCAAUAGCGUAUAUUAAAGUUGUUGCAGUUAAAAAGCUCGUAGUUGGAUUUCUGCUGGAAGAACAAUCAAUCCGCCCUUUUUGAAAGGGUGUGAAUUUGUUGUUUUCUGGCAUAUUCUUUUCUUUUCAUACUCUUCUGCACCGGCGACGGUGUAGAAGGAGUGGAGAAGAAAACUGUUACUUUGAGAAAAUUAGAGUGUUUCAAGCAGGCUUAUUGCCUUGAAUACUGCAGCAUGGAAUAACAUUAUAGGAUUUUGGUUCUAUUUUGUUGGUUUUUAGGACUGAAAUAAUGAUUAAUAGGGACAGUUGGGGGCAUUCGUAUUUAACUGUCAGAGGUGAAAUUCUUAG